CCCGGAUGUUAGCGGCGGACGGGUGAGUAACACGUGGGUAACCUGCCUGUAAGACUGGGAUAACUCCGGGAAACCGGAGCUAAUACCGGAUAGUUCCUUGAACCGCAUGGUUCAAGGAUGAAAGACGGUUUCGGCUGUCACUUACAGAUGGACCCGCGGCGCAUUAGCUAGUUGGUGGGGUAAUGGCUCACCAAGGCGACGAUGCGUAGCCGACCUGAGAGGGUGAUCGGCCACACUGGGACUGAGACACGGCCCAGACUCCUACGGGAGGCAGCAGUAGGGAAUCUUCCGCAAUGGACGAAAGUCUGACGGAGCAACGCCGCGUGAGUGAUGAAGGUUUUCGGAUCGUAAAGCUCUGUUGUUAGGGAAGAACAAGUGCGAGAGUAACUGCUCGCACCUUGACGGUACCUAACCAGAAAGCCACGGCUAACUACGUGCCAGCAG
rnacentral:rRNA from 1 species